rnacentral:rRNA from 1 species
UACGGAGGGGCGUAGCGUUGUUCGGAAUUACUGGGCGUAAAGCGCACGUAGGCGGCUUGAAAGUUAGGGGUGGAAAGCCCGGAGCUCAACUCCGGAAUUGCCUUCAAAACUCUUAAGCUAGAGUUCGGAAGAGGAGAGUGGAAUUCCCAGUGUAGAGGUGAAAUUCGUAGAUAUUGGGAAGAACACCAGUGGCGAAGGCGACUCGCUGGACAGGUAUUGACGCUGAGGUGCGAAAGCGUGGGGAGCAAACAGGA